rnacentral:rRNA from 1 species
UACAUGGGGUGCAAACGUUGCUUGGAAUUAUUGGGCGUAAAGCGCGCGUAGGCGGUUACUCAAGUCGGAUGUGAAAGCCCUCGGCUUAACUGAGGAAGUGCACCCGAAACUGAGUAGCUAGAGUACUAAAGAGGGUCGCGGAAUUCCCGGUGUAGAGGUGAAAUUCGUAGAUAUCGGGAGGAACACCGGUGGCGAAGGCGGCGACCUGGGUAGAUACUGACGCUGAGGCGCGAAAGCGUGGGGAGCAAACAGG